rnacentral:rRNA from 1 species
GAUGAACGCUGGCGGCGUGCCUAAUACAUGCAAGUCGAGCGAACGGACGAGAAGCUUGCUUCUCUGAUGUUAGCGGCGGACGGGUGAGUAACACGUGGAUAACCUACCUAUAAGACUGGGAUAACUUCGGGAAACCGGAGCUAAUACCGGAUAAUAUUUUGAACCGCAUGGUUCAAAAGUGAAAGACGGUCUUGCUGUCACUUAUAGAUGGAUCCGCGCUGCAUUAGCUAGUUGGUAAGGUAACGGCUUACCAAGGCAACGAUGCAUAGCCGACCUGAGAGGGUGAUCGGCCACCCUGGAACUGAGACCCGGUCCAGACUCCUACGGGAGGCAGCCGUAGGGAAUCUUCCGCAAUGGGCGAAAGCCUGACGGAGCAACGCCGCGUGAGUGAUGAAGGUCUUCGGAUCGUAAAACUCUGUUAUUAGGGAAGAACAUAUGUGUAAGUAACUGUGCACAUCUUGACGGUACCUAAUCAGAAAGCCACGGCUAACUACGUG